rnacentral:rRNA from 1 species
UACUAUAGCUUGACACUGAAUUCUAAAUUUUGAUGUGUAGGAUAGGUGGGAGGCUAUGAAUCUGAAACGCUAGUUUCAGGGGAGCCGCACUUGAAAUACCACCCUUGAAAAUUCGGUAUUCUAACCUAGUGCCGUAAUCCGGUACAGAGACAGUGUCUGGUGGGUAGUUUGACUGGGGCGGUCUCCUCCCAAAGAGUAACGGAGGAGUGCGAAGAUUGGCUAAUCACGGUCGGACAUCGUGAGGUUAGUGCAAAGGCAUAAGCCAGUUUAACUGUGAGCGUGAUAACGCAAGCAGAUGCGAAAGCAGGUCUUAGUGAUCCGGUGGUUCUGUGUGGAAAGGCCAUCGCUCAACGGAUAAAAGGUACUCCGGGGAUAACAGGCUGAUAC